UUCUUGCCGUGAAGAGAGACGGAAAAUGGGCUGCAGGCUUGGCAGAGUGGGAGCCAAUCACGUAUUGCCUGCGAAUGCCGCGGCGUUCCUUUCCUGGGGAGUUUCGGCAGCUGUUCGGAAUGGGGUGUGCGAGGAACUGGCGCCUUGGGAAAGAGCAUUUGGAUAGCAGGCAAUACGUGGAGAAGGCGAGCGAAAAGCACUUAUCAAUCGAAGGUUCUGGCACCUACCCAGCUUUGGCUGAUCUUGAAACCUAAGGAAUUUUGGAUUAUACUUAGAUAUCACCAGACUAUCCCAGGAUUAUAAAGUUGAAAGAAUAUCUCAGAAGAUGAAAGAAUACCAAUGCUGGUCCUCUUAGGGGGUGCAGAAGAAUGGCCAACUUGAGAUGUUACACUGAGAUUUACUUCAAGUGCACCCUUUUCUGUGAUACCUAUUCUGAUAAGUAAAGAAAAAAAAAACUUUAAUGAAAUUCCAGACGCAAUACAGUUGGAUUGUUUGUCAUCUUCAAAUGGAACAAACAAGAAGGGAUGACUCCAUCAAAAAUAAAGCUUCCUUCAUCAAGCACAAAAGAAAGUUGUACCCCUCUAGAUUCCAGCUCAGCCACAAUUUUCAUUGCUCCUUUUUUGCCACCCACCUGAAAGGGAAUUAGAAUAACAUUUUCCUAAGUCAAGUCAUUGGCUAGUCUUUCAAAAGAAUGCAUUUAUUAUUAUUCAGUAAAGGCUGUAAGUGAUUUACUAAUUAUGCCUCAAACCACUGAAUCUAAAGUGAUUAUUCAGAAUCUCAUUUAAAAAGCUACUAUAUAUUUAAGCUACCUUUUCACCUAUCUAAAUUCUAAUUGGGAGAUUUUUUUAAUUCAGUCUAUUAUUUUUAUAAAUGAUUCAAGGCAACAUAUAUAUCUAAUCCUCCUUCCUUUUCCUAUUUUCUUCAGAACAACCCUGUGAGGUAAAUUGGACUGAGAGAAUGAGUGGCCCAAAGUCACUCAGUCAGCUUUCAUGCCUAAGGAGGGACUAAGAAUUCAUUCUCCUGUUUCUAGCCUUGUGCCUUUAAAAAAACAUUAUUUUUUUAAAAAAUAUGGAGAUUUAAUUUAGACUAUCAAAUGCAAUAUUUAAAAAUAUCCAAUAUAUAUAUAUAUUCUCCUUCAGCAAAACAAACUACUACUAUAUUGCCAAAAUCUGAUCAAUGGGCAAUAACCUUCCACUUUAUUAGGACAAUAUACAUUAAAGAUAUUCAGAUUAACCAAAUUUUUAAAAAGCAAUUUAUUUGGAAACUACCAUUCAGUUUUUGGGGAUGGCUUGUAACUCCAAAAUAAAUAAUAUAAACAUGGGACUAGUUGUGAAGUUAAAAACAAACACAUAAACAAAUAAUACCUCUUCAUCAUGACCAAGGCCUAUAUAGAAAGAUCUUUGUGGUCUGUAAUUUCGUCUCAGUAAAAACUCUAGAGCGUGCAGAAUGCCCUGAGGAUUAGAAAGAAAUCUGGUUACACAGUGAGUUGUACCAUAUAUGGUGAUUAGCAAGAGUUAGACUACCAAAAAGCAGAGCUCAUAUAAAGACCUUAACUGUAUUCACUAAAGGUUUUUGACCAUUAUAUAGUACUAACCACCCUCCAGUGAGCAUAAUCCAGUGAGUUUUCUGGAGUUGGGCAGCCAAUAAAUGUAAAUAAAUAAAUUUUAAUUAAAAUUAAAAAGAUACAUUUUGGCAAGAAACUUGCUGGGUCCCUACGGUUGAUUACUAUCCAAUAGGAACCGCCUGUCCCCAGUUAUCUUGUCUUUCUUCCACAAUAACAGAUUUUGAAGCCUUUGAAGCUGGCCAGGGAUAGUAUUGGAGUUAAGGAGGAAAAUGUUGCUUAAAGACUGGUUAAGCCUGUCUCACUCAUGAACUGGGGAUGAGGUGAAGAUAGCAUCAUCAUGGGAAUACAGGAAGAAGAGGUUCCUAUGUUUGUGCUGUGUUAGAUUUUCAGUUUUCCAGAAGGAGCAAUUGGAACUGAAGUUGAAGCAGAACCUGUACCUAAGAAAUCUGUUUGAAGCUCAGCCAAACACAAUUCUAAAACCAGUCACAUGGAACAAUUCUAUCCUGCUAUACGAGAUAAUGGAAAUUUUGAUUGGUGAAAAUAUGCAUAAAGAGACACAAGUAGAGUGCUUUACAGAUAAGUUAUCCUUAAAUGUGUAAGUAUAUAUCCAUCUCCUUUUAGAAAGUGUAUUUCAUAUUAAUACUGGUUCCUAGCUAGGAUAUUCCUAGGAUAUUCCCCCACAGGUUUGUGGUUAAAAAAUAUGGUGUUGGGAAAAUAGUUAUAUAAGAAUAUUAAGCCUGGCCUGCAAAAAUCUAUCAAAUUAUUGGAUGGCAGCAAAGAGAUUAAUACAACUUGUCUGGAUUUGUGCAAUUCAGAUACAGUAGCCCCAAGUUUUGCAGAAUAACAGGAUAACAGAGUUGGGAGGGACCUUGGAGGUCUUCUAGUCCAACCCCCUGCUCAAGCAGAAAACCCUAUAUCGUUUCAGACAAAUGGUUGUCCAAUCUCUUCUUAAAAAUCUUCAACCUCAGUGUUGAACAAUGAUUGAUCAAGAUAUAGUUAUAAUAGACAUUUGGGGAUGUUCUCUUCCAUCAAGAACAGUGACCAAAGAACUCAAAAUGUUCAUAUGUAAGGAUAUUAGAAGUCAUUUACCAUUGGCAGAAGCUCAAAGGGGCAGGCUAUGAUUAAUUGCCAAUUCUGCAAGCUCUAAAGAAAUAAUGAUAGUGCAUAGGCUAUUACUUUGCAAUUACUUCUCCUAAAUUGAAAAUAAAACUACAGAUUAUCAGGACUGGCAUUAAGUUCUAGUAUCCUCUAAAAUCAAUCCAUUAGGCCAACUCCAUUACUAACAAGCAUACAAGAUGACUUCACACUAAAAGGCUAUUUAUUCAUAAUUGUCUUGUGAGUUUAGAUUGGGCUGAUCUAUUUUUCAUGAAUUGCCUUUAAAAAUAUUUUCUAAACUUGAUACAGAAUGCAUUCAGGAAGUUGUAGAGAAAGUGCCACAUUUCUUAAUAUCUGUGUUGUCAGAUCAACUACAGAGCCUGCUUGGAGUAGUUCAAAGGCACUACUGCUUUCCAUUUGCUUAGAACAUGUCCUCUUCUCUUCUCUGCCUCAUAAAUAUGAAGCUGGACCAAAGUAUACCACGAAAAUAAUAUUUGCUCUGAGAAUACAGCAAAAGUCUCUCUGUCUGGACACCUCCAUGAUGUAUCUAUGAAUAAAUUUGAGAUAUUGUGGUUAAGAAUAGUUCAGCUUCAAUUAGCCUGCUGUGAGCGAACUCCUUUCUGCCCUUUCCCUGGGCUC